GGUAUUCAUCAAUGGACAACCCAAAAUUGAUGGCAAGGUUAUGCGCUGUCGAUAUGUUGUCGGUGUUGCCUAUGCUGCGGGUGUGUGCUUGAGCACUAAAGUGGGACUUUUGGAAGACGAUGGCUUGUUCCACACAGGAGUUCAUACCGCUGCUCACGAACUUGCUCACCUGCUUGGUUGUCCACAUGACGGGGACCCAGCGCCUCCCGCGCUGCCAAACUCUCCUGGGGCGGAAUCAUGUUCGGGGAGCGAUGGCUUUUUAAUGAGCUCAGACCUCACGGGCACGACAAACAAAAAUCAGUACCAUCUAUCGCCAUGCUGCCAAGAUGUGAUACGGUAUGUUGCAGGGAUGGCAUGUUGGAACAGUGUCUUCUGAAUUUCGAAACGAUUCCUGAUCAGAAUGGCGAUGGUUGGAGAGUGAAUGUCACAGCAGAAGAUGGGACACCUUGCAGCAACGAAAAGCCCCCGAAGGUCUGCAUAGCUGGAGAAUGCGUUGUUUGGACAUAAGAACCAUGACCUGCCGGGUGACUCAAAUGGAAACACUUGAGGUGAAACGCCCCACGCAAAACACGAUUUGUUUCCCAAGAAAAUAAAACAAUAAAAGUUAUUUAACUAUUUGAGGUGUCAAGGCAUCAUAAUUGUGAGCA
rnacentral:misc_RNA from 1 species